rnacentral:rRNA from 1 species
UACGUAGGGUGCGAGCGUUAAUCGGAAUUACUGGGCGUAAAGCGUGCGCAGGCGGUUUUGUAAGCCAGAUGUGAAAUCCCCGGGCUUAACCUGGGAAUGGCAUUUGGGACUGCAAGGCUUGAGUUUGGCAGAGGAGACUGGAAUUCCUGGUGUAGCAGUGAAAUGCGUAGAUAUCAGGAGGAACACCGAUGGCGAAGGCAGGUCACUGGGCCGCAACUGACGCUGAGGAGCGAAAGCAUGGGGAGCGAACAGG